CUCACUCACUUGCAGCUCUCCAAUUCUUUCAUUUUUGAAAGCAUCAGGUACAGAAGGAGAAAAUAUAUUAUGUAUUCGAUGAGUGGGGAGCAGCAGGACUACUAUAUCUCUAAAGCGUUUUUUCUUACAAUUUGUGUUCUGGGGAUGAUCUGAAUUAAGAGAUUAGAAUGCAAAUCCUCAACGCCUUUGUGCGGUGAAGCCGCCAAGAGGGUCCAUAAAACCAUAAUCUUCGGGAGUUCUAGAAGUACCUCAAAAUUGAUAUUGUUAGUGCAAUAAAAACACAAGUAUACCAGUUUCGUCGUCCUUGCAUCUCCGAUCUACUAUAUUUAGGAGGCCUUCACCUGAUGGCACCACCCAGAUGAGCAGGACCUCUUAUUUUGAAUUGCCUCGAUGUUUUGUGUCCGCACUGCCUUAUAAGGCAUUAUGGAUGGACUAUGAUGUGGAGGCCUCCUAUGAUAUCUUGAGUUCGAUUGAAUGCCACCUUUUGAAGUUAUAACAAUAUUGAUGUACUAAACAUUUCUCAGUUUUUCCCGGUAUGACCCAGGAAUCAGAACCAUUAGCCUAUUCUAUUUUAUGUUGCAAAUAGAACAAUUAGCUUAUGUUGCAAAUAUUUUAUCUUCGAUGCUU